AAUGAACGCCGGCGGCAGGCCUAACACAUGCAAGUCGAACGGAUCCUUCGGGAUUAGUGGCGGACGGGUGAGUAACGCGUGGGAACAUACCCUUUGGUACGGAAUAGCCUCGGGAAACUGGGAGUAAUACCGUAUGUGGUCGAGAGACGAAAGAUUUAUCGCCAAAGGAUUGGCCCGCGUUGGAUUAGGUAGUUGGUGGGGUAAUGGCCUACCAAGCCGACGAUCCAUAGCUGGUUUGAGAGGAUGAUCAGCCACACUGGGACUAAGACACGGCCCAGACUCCUACGGGAGGCAGCAGUGGGGAAUCUUAGACAAUGGGGGAAACCCUGAUCUAGCCAUGCCGCGUGGUCGAUGAAGGCCUUAGGGUUGUAAAGAUCUCUCAGGUGGGAAGAUAAUGACUGUACCACCAGAAGAAGCCCCGGCUAACUCCGUGCCAGCCGCCGCCGUAACAC
rnacentral:rRNA from 1 species